GACGAAGGAUGCAAGCGUUAUCCGGAUUCAUUGGGUUUAAAGGGUGCGUAGGCGGCCCUGUAAGUCAGUGGUGAAAGCUCUCCGCUUAACGGAGAAACUGCCAUUGAUACUGCAGGGCUUGAGUACAGAUGAUGUUGGCGGAAUAUGACAUGUAGCGGUGAAAUGCAUAGAUAUGUCAUAGAACACCGAUUGCGAAGGCAGCUGACAAAACUGUAACUGACGCUGAGGCACGAAAGUGCGGGGAUCAAACAGG
rnacentral:rRNA from 1 species